UUUUUCACUAAGUCUUUAGAGGUUUUAAGAUUCAAACACUAUGUAAGAAGAAUUAUGGUUUGAACUACGUAACAAUUACCUAGACAUCUUUUGGACUUCAGUUAACCUGUGUCAAGCACUGCAGUAGAUUCUGAAGAUACAAAAAUAAAUAAAACAUUCCUGCCCUCAAGACACUUACACUCUUAUGUGUAACACUGUGUGACCAUUCAUCUGGGCCUUCCUGAGACAGUCUUGGUUUACACCUGUUUUCCCAAUCAGAGCAUCACUGCCUUUCCCACUAUUCUCCUGCAGAAGAGCAGGGGAAGGAAGCACCAGGGUCCAUCAUGGAGGAAGGGUGUUGCCCUGAACAGCUGACACACCCUCAGCAAUGAAGCUUAGUUUUGCUGGAACUUUUCAGUUGUGACAACUGAGAUUCAGAGAUGUCCAAUCUACUCACAUAAAUAGCCUGGUUGAAGAUGGCUGAGCGUAAAACAGAAUGCAAGUCAGCUGGAGCACGUACUACUGGAGGCAGAGCCCCAUGAGAAGGGGCCAAGAACCCGCACCCAUCAAAAU
rnacentral:lncRNA from 10 species